AAACUAACAAGGAUUCCCCUAGUAGCGGCGAGCGAAGCGGAAGAGCUCAAAUUUGUAAUCUGGUACCUUCGGUGCCCGAGUUGUAAUCUCGAGAAGUGUUUUCCGUGCCAGACCGCAUACAAGUCUGUUGGAAUACAGCGUCAUAGUGGUGAGAACCCCGUAGAUGAUGCGGAUGCCUGGUGCUCUGUGAUACACUUUCGAAGAGUCGAGUUGUUUGGGAAUGCAGCUCAAAUUGGGUGGUAAAUUCCAUCUAAAGCUAAAUAUUGGCGAGAGACCGAUAGCGAACAAGUACCGUGAGGGAAAGAUGAAAAGCACUUUGGAAAGAGAGUUAACAGUACGUGAAAUUGUUGGAAGGGAAACGCUUGAAGUCAGACUUGCUAUUUGGAGUUCAGCCUCACGGUGUAUUCUUCAAUUUGCAGGCCAGCAUCAGUUUUUGGGGGCAGAAAAGGGUAUUGGGAACGUGGCAACUCCGGUUGUGUUAUAGCCCUUUACUGGAUCUGUCCUUGGGGACUGAGGAACGCAGUACACUUUUUGCAAGUCUCUCGGGACUUUUUGUACUUAGGAUGCUGGUGGAAUGGCUUUAAACGAC
rnacentral:rRNA from 1 species